CAAUAGUCACUAGUGUUUAUGUUUAAGCUCUCAGUUUCUGUUUUACGCUCAAAACUUCAUUUUCUUCUUCUCCGUCGCCGGAAAACCUAAUUCUCGAUGAGAAAAUCCAUCCGAAUAUCUUCCAUCGGUCUCGGAGGCCAAGCUGCAGAACCGCCGGUGGUGAAGAAUUUCAGUACUCGUUUUUCUCUUACGCCGUUUGCGAAGCGUGUUCAGAAUCUAACUGAUGAGCAAAGAUCGGCGAUCUUGCGAACGGGAUUCGGUAGUUUGUUAUUGGUUCCAAAUCAUUCACUUAACAAGGUUUUCCUUACGGAAGUAAUGGAGGCUUGGAAUUCUGAGCUGCGAGUUUUCGAGUUAGGUUCUGGUGAAAUUGGGUUUAGUUUGUUGGAUGUUGCUUUGAUUUUAGGGCUUCCGGUGGUGGGACAGCGUGUGGAGCUGAGUGAUGAUGAGUUGUUUUCUGAAUUGGAAGAGGAAUACGGGGCUUCGCGUGCGAAGAGGAAGGUGGCUAUGGGUAGUCUUGAAGCGAGGCUGGACUCGAUUGGGGAGGUUGUGAGUGAUGAUUUUGUGAGGAGCUUUUUGCUUUUCACUAUUGGGACUUUCCUUUCUUCCAAUGACGGGAAAGUGGAUUCAAGGUACUUGUCUUUUCUUGGGGAUUUAGAUGGGGUGUCUGGUUUUGCUUGGGGUGCUGCUGUUAUUGAAGAUUUGUGUCAGUGGCUUGAUAAGAGGAAAGAUAACAAUGUACAAUAUGUUGGUGGUUGUCUCAUAUUUCUCCAAACAUGGUCAUACGAGCACUUUGAUACAGCACGGCCAAAUUUGCUAGAUGAAGAAGAUAUGACUUUUCCUCGCGUGUGUCGAUGGGAUCAUAGUAAAUCUCACCCAAGGCAACGGGGUACAUUAAGGUUUAAGGAUCUGCAUGAUGAUCAGAUAAUUUGGAAACUUCAACCUACGUCUCAAGAGUUACAAAUAGACAUAAUAAAAGAAGCAAUGGAGUUACUAGGUGACAGCAAGGUCAAAAGGGAUGGAAAUUAUUCAGCAAGCACAUCAAGUAAUGUUUCAGAUGAAGAUGAAGAGAUACAACUUAGUAGCUCUAGUAAAAUAUAUACAGAAGACGGGAUUAAUUUAGAAAAUCAGGUAGUAGAGGACACUCCCACAAGGUUGGACACUUAUGACGAAGAGUAUAGAGAACAGAAAAUCAAUAUUGAAAAUCUGAUAAUCUUGGACACCCCCUCCGAUUCGAGCACUCCCAUUGAAUUAGGCAGAGAGGAGCAGUUCCAAUCUCAAAAACUAAUGAUGGAGGACUCUUUCACAAAUUUGACCAUAUCUGAUUCUGAGGAUGGAGGUAGAAAAGAUAGGUUAAACACUGAAAAUCACAUAAUGGAAGACACAACCGCAAAUUUGAGCAUUGGGAACAACGAAGUAGGAAAAGAGCAAGAGUUGAUUGCUGAAACUCUCAUAGUGGAUGACACUCCCCCUAAGUUCAGCUCUGAUGAUGUUGAUUUAAGGAAGAAAAAUAUCAUGUUAGAGGAGGAAAAUGCUGAAUUGAAGCUGAAAAUAAACCAACAAAUGGAAGAAAUUGGAGUUCUCCGUAGAGAGAAUUUAUCCAAAACACAAUUAGAAAAGGAGAACGACGAGUUGAAACAAGAGUUAGACAUCUUGAAAAACAAUUUAAAUGGCUUUGCAGACCAAAUAGAGAGACAUAUUAAGGAUUACCAAACUGAUGCAAUUGAAUAAUAUGCUAUCCUUGAAUUUAAGCAGGUUGCUGUAUAUAAUAUCACAAGUUUGUUAGGGGUUGUGUGUUAGGACUAGGAGGUUCUUUCCAGGUUUCUUUGAGCAGUGAAACCAUGAAAUUCUUUCCAGCGAGCAUCUUUGUUUCGACGGUGAAAAGGUGUCGUCCAUCAGGUGUGUUCAAGUAGAAGCUUCAUGUGGUAGCUUUGACACGGCUGUUGCGUGUUCAACUUAUGCACAACACAAAAACAAACAGGUUUAUGGUAUUUUUCAUUUGCAUGAUUUGAAUCUAAUUAAAGUUUGAAUGCAUUUUAUCUUCAUACAUCUCUUAUUCCCAUUUGUUGAUGCUCUAACUAAUUAUUCAAUCUCACUUAUCAAAUACUGAUAGCAUAUACAGUAUGCACUUUCUGCAUUUAUUUCUUUAAAAGAAUGAUGUUAGCUGAUAAAAAAAAAAGACUAGAAUUAUGAUGAGUGCAUUAUCUUAUACCAUGACAAUGAACAUGUUAAUAGAUGAUUUUGAUUUUAUUUUCUAAAUAAAGUUUAUAUUAUUUUAGUUAUCUGCCAACUAAUUAAGAAUUCAAUUAUAUUUUUGUAAUAUACUACUUGUCUCUAAACUCUUGAGUUUUUUUUUUGUACCUGUUUAUAUGUCUCUGUUUAUAUGACUCACUUCAAAUUUUUAAAGUGCAUUAAUGGUUUCUCUACCUAUAUAUCCUAAUUAUGUUGCAUCUUUAUGCACUAACUAAAUAUACUGUAACAGAACAUUAAAUAAUUCUCUCUCUAAGAUAAACUUGUAAAAUUAUACAAAAUAGUCAACAAAUUUAAUACUUCAAAUCAACUUUCUUAAUUUUUUGUGAUUUAUCCAAAGAGGUCAUAUAUUUAGGGGCAGAGGUAGUAAUUAUGUUUAGGCUAUGUUGCCUCUUCCACAACCUUUUUUGUUUUUUGAAUAAAGAGUUGAUUCAUAGUUUCCAUCUUUAAGUCAUUGUCCUUGAGGCAAACACCACUUCAUGUUCUUAAUUCAUUCCUGUUAUCACUUGUGUGUAUAUAAGUCUUUGAAUAUGUUCUAGAUCUAUGUAUCUGUGUAGACGUGAAAAUGUCGAAACUUUAAUAAAAAUUGGAGGAGUAUUUUUAUGUUAGAAUUUAAGAAUCAUUCAAGUACGGUUGACACUUUUUCCGUGAAUUGGACGAAUUCAGAAAAUUAUGGUUAAAAAAGUAGAUAUGCUUUGUUUGCAGAAAAUUAUCGUUAAAAAAGUAGAUAUGCUUUGUUUGCAGUAUUCAAUCUAUUGUAGUGUUGUUGUAAUAGUUUCUUUCUUUUGUUUUGGAGUUCUAGUAUACUUGCUUGAGUAAAAUUAUAACUCAGUUUUAUGGUUUAAAAACCCUGUUUGCUUUUUCAAAAUUUGAGUUUUGGUGAUU